rnacentral:tRNA from 1 species
GGGUUUAUAGCUCAAUUGGUAGAGCGGCGGGCUUUUAAUCCGUGUGUUGUGGGUUCGAGUCCCACUAAACUCA